GACGACCGGCGCACGGGUGAGUAACACGUAUCCAACCUCCCAUAACUCAGGGAUAGCCUUUCGAAAGAAAGAUUAAUACCUGAUAGUACUUUUUCAAGGCAUCUUGAGAAAGUUAAAGAUUUAUUGGUUAUGGAUGGGGAUGCGUUCCAUUAGAUAGUUGGUGAGGUAACGGCUCACCAAGUCUUCGAUGGAUAGGGGUUCUGAGAGGAAGGUCCCCCACAUUGGUACUGAGACACGGACCAAACUCCUACGGGAGGCAGCAGUGAGGAAUAUUGGUCAAUGGGCGAGAGCCUGAACCAGCCAAGUAGCGUGAAGGAAUGAAGGUCCUAUGGAUUGUAAACUUCUUUUAUAGUAGAAUAAAGUGAUCCACGUGUGGAUUUUUGUAUGUAUACUAUGAAUAAGGAUCGGCUAACUCCGUGCCAGCCGCCGC
rnacentral:rRNA from 1 species